UCUCUCAUUCAAAAUAUCAACAAACCCUGAAUCAAAUACGCAAUCCUCCCCUUUUCUCUCUCAAAAUUUCAUCAUCCUCUCUUCAAGUCAAGAAGUCGUGAUCAAGCUCCAUCAACAUCUCCUUGCCGUGGUCCUCAUCUUGCCUCCACCACAUUUGAAGCUUUCUUGCGUUCUUGAGAUCUUCAAAAGUGAGCACCCUCAAUCCCCGGAUAGAACGAUCUCUACUUGCUAUAUACUAACAACUGUCAACAGGGUUAAUUUUGAGAACUCAUUUCGAGCUCAUCAAGCAACCCACUAGAAGGCCGAAGAGAAAGAUUGUCUAUGCCAAACCCUGUAGUACCCACUAUAACAUAUGGCUUAGUUAAUAUUGUGAUAUAAUUGUGAAAUAUAGGCAAGUCAUAACUUGGUCUUCAAAGCAUGAGAAUGAGCUUAAUUGUGGGUUGCGCACGA